rnacentral:tRNA from 1 species
GCCGAAAUAGCUCAGUUGGGAGAGCGUUAGACUGAAGAUCUAAAUGUCCUGAGUUCUGCU